rnacentral:lncRNA from 1 species
UGACGAUAUCAAUAUGUACACGAUAUUCAAUACAAGAGCAGUAGACAAGAACACAAUUUAAUUACUAACAUUGCUUUUAGAUCGUCCAUUAAAUAAAAAACAUAAAAAUCUACUUUAGCAAGAAAGAGCCUAAAUUGUUCAUCGGAUAAACAUAAAUGCUUGCAACCGAUUUCUUCAAAAGGUUCCACCCAAUACAAUACCUUGUCUUACAUGUCUUAUAAGCCAUCAUGAAGUUUACUGACCUGACUCAGCGCUCGCUAAAAGAACUGGAGAAGAGAUCAACAGAAAGAAUGGCAAGAUUUGAAAGAAUACAGUGCGAAUUUGAAGAUUUACAGGACCAAAUUGAAGAUAAUUCAAACUUCAUGAACGUUCGACUAUAUAGGCUGAUCAGCGUGCAGGAGGAUCUUGCCACCAUUCAGAGGGCGGCAGAGGGGAUCAGAUUAAGAUUAAAUGGAUUAAGAGAGGAAGCAAACACACCUGUCAAGCCCCUGGAGAGAGACCUAUUCUAUCCAAAAAGCUGGCUUACUAUGUAGCCAUGGAAACGGGAUGGAUGCUAAUUAAACUAAUCGAAGCUGAAGCGAUGGAUCAAUGAUUGCGCGGUGGAUAUCAUUUCAAUACACUCGUGCGUAAAGGCAGUAAUUAUUCACUGCAUCAGCGAGGACCUGCUGAUCACCAUCACAAUUAUGGAUGGAUAGUAUGAGGAAACAACAAAACCAUACAUCACACCCAGGAAACAAUAAGAGUAAUUUGCUCUUAUUUUUGGCAAAAGAGACAUUACAUUCAAUUUCAUUUCAUUCCUUUCAUCUCGUUUAUUUCCAUUCCAACAUAAACAAUUUGUUUCGUACAUUUUCAUAUACAAUCUAAAGCAGAUACGAAC